rnacentral:misc_RNA from 1 species
UGUGGGAGCGGGCUUGCCCGCGAUGGCGGUCUGACAUUCAACAUCAAUGUUGACUGUUAUGGCCUCAUCGCGGGCAAGCCCGCUCCCACA